CAGGGAGACAACAAAAUGUUAAAUAUUAAUUUUGUCACCUUAGGUCGAUCGGUAUCUCAGGUUCUUAAUUACUUUAAGAAUUUCAUUUCCUAAGUUUUUUCUAGGUCACACCCAUUACUUUCCCUGGGCCAUUAGCUCAGGUGGUUAGAGCGCACCCCUGAUAAGGGUGAGGUCCCUGGUUCAAGUCCAGGAUGGCCCAUUCGGUGUUGGGGGUUUAGCUCAGUUGGUAGAGCGCCUGCUUUGCAAGCAGGAUGUCAGCGGUUCGAGUCCGCUAACCUCCACUGACGAAUCUUCUGACAACGAGCCAAUGGUGAGAAUCGUUGUGUGAUGUGAUUUAGGAUUUAAGUUUGCUGGCAGACCCUAGCUUCUUAUCAUUCCAGGACUCAAUCAAUUGAGAUGAGGUUGAUAGGACGCUGGGCUCACUGUAAUUCGCAAGAAUUGCAGAGAUGUUCAGCAGAACCUUGACAACUGCAUAGGUAAGUCUGGAAAGAAUAAAGCAUCUCAUGGAUGCAUGAUUCUUGCGAGUCAGCUAAUGCAAUCUGCGCCAGUAGAGAGCUGAGGUUGAUCAACGAGAAUGAUGUUUGAUUCUUGAGUCAAGAGCCGAGACUCUAUAGCGUUCUUUCGAUGUCAUCGAGGCAUCGAAAGUUUGAUUGGUGAUUCAAACCAUCUUCAAUGACAAACAAUUCAGUUUAACUGGAGAAGUUUGAGAUUGAAGCCAGGUGAAUUGCUAAGAAUACGUAUUCAACUACGUGAAGCGUUAUAGAGAUUAAUU
rnacentral:tRNA from 1 species